rnacentral:lncRNA from 1 species
AAGCACAGGCUUCGCCUUUGGAAUUCUGUGUGCAGUGCAAAUUCCGAAUUGUCCAGGCCGCAAUUAGUACGCGGCGUGUGAGAAACAAAAAAAUGACGGCAAUUCUACAUCAAUUCCUUCAGCUGAAACCUUGUCCUUGCCCUCUCGGCAAAACAGCGACACUUGCAAGAGUGAUCGGACUUCCUGGUGCACAAUUAUGUCAUUUCUCCUAAAGAGGAACGAAGAUGACUUACCUUUCGGAAAGAAGAGAAGAUAUUAUAUGAUUCCCUGACACCUUGAGGACGCUUUUCAUCUUCUAGAGCUUUCUCUCGAUGCUCCUGAGUCAUGGCUUAAUUGAGGAUGAGCAGUGUAGCGAGAUCGAUGUAUGCCUGUCCAUUUUAGGCAGCGGUCUAGUGCCUAGCAUGCGAGUUUGACGGACUGCGUCGAGAUUUCAGAAGCACGGGCUGAGCAGCAACUCGAAAUUAUCCUGAACGACUCUCG